AAAGCCUGGAUCGCUGUCUGUUGUCAUUGUGAGGGAUUGUUCUGAGCCACUUUGACAUUCGCCAUAUCCAAAUGGACCCUCUUGGAGGAAAAGAUAUUGAAGCAAACCCAACAGGUAGUGAGGAGAUGCAACUUCCUGUUCUGACUCAACCUGGCCUCGGAGAGACCACGACAACAGUGACCACUAUCUCUCAAACGGGAGGAGACUGGAGCACAGGACUGUUUGAAGUGUGCGGUGA